UUUCUGUCUAUCCCUUGCUGGUUUUCGACAGCAAGAGCCUUCUGCAAGGACAGCGGGGAAGGUCGGGGUCAGUGCUGACAUGUCUGCCCGGGAAGAACAUGAGCUUUGAAGGGACACCCGAGUUCAAACCCCGGCCCCGUGUCAUGGAAGCUGGGUGUCCCACCUAGCACCACUGUAGAAGAGGCCUCCCCAAGUAUGUAGAUUCCAUCUGUGCUCUGCUCUCGCAGCCUGGCAGGGAGGCAGGGGAAACACAGACUUGACCUCACAGUCCCUCUGCACAGAGAUUUGGCAUCGGCCCUACCAUCUCCGCCAGCUGAGCUUCAUCCAGGGGCAGGAUCCUCUGGGCACCCGAGGUUAAGCGGGGUGUGGGCAGCUAGCACGCCCAGGGCACAGCUGUGGAGAGGAGUCUGUGAGCCAUCCUACCUGAGAAGCAUGUGGUCUAGGCCGCUGUGGACAAGAUGCAGCCCUUCUGUCUCGGUCCAAACAAGAUGCUCAGAUCUCAGAUAGAACCAAGAUACUCCUCACCCAUGGGAGCCGCCUGGCGGUUAAAGUGCUAUUCCAUGCACCCGAACUCCCUUGUCCUUCGAAACUGUAAGCACAUGUUGGACAACUGCUUCUCAGGCAUACCGUGGGGAGAACCCUCAUUUUGAACUCUGAAUAAUCACUGCAGCAACACUCGUGAAUCUCCUUUUGGCUAGAAUUGGGUCCCUGGGUAAAAUUAUACUGACUUUAUUCAAACUUAACAUUAUGGGCUUCUGGAAAAAAAAUCAGCCUAAGCUCCUAAAUGCAGAGAGAAGAGAACGUCACUUCCAUGACUCUGUUGCUCUGGGAUCAGUUUUCUGUGGCAAGUGAUGCCUCCCGAUUCCUGUUGAAAAAUGGCAAUCAUAAAGGGGCAGUCUCACAGGGUCACUGUGAGAGUUUAGCAAGGUACCCAUGCGCGUGCCACCACUCCACGCCUGGUACUCAGCUGGAGGCCAGGAAUGUAGACCGCCCAGGCAGUGGCAGAGAUGUCAUGGAGAGUCCUUUGCACCCAGCACCAGUCUCCCCUACCCGCCAGCUUAGUAUCGAAACCAGGACACAGACACGGGCACAGUGUGAGUGUUGGAUUCCAUGCCAUGUUGCCACGUGUGUAUAUUCACAUACCCGCCACCACAGUCAACACACAUGCUGCUCCAGACUGUCCCUUAAACUGUCCCUUUGUGGUCACACCCACCUCCCCUCCCCACUCAUCACUCCUCACUCCUGGUGACCACUGACUUUUCUCCCCAUCUCUAUAAUUUUUGCAUCCUGAUAAUGUCCUAUACAUGGAAUUAAAGAGCAUAUGACCUCUUAAGAUUGGUAUUUUCUAUCAGUGUCUUGCCCUGAGAGCCUUCCACAGCAGCCCAUACAAGUGACUCCUUCCACUCGGCCCUGGUCCAGCUGUGUCUUUGUCUGAGUGUCUUGUCUUCACACUCUCUUGCUGUGUGUGUAUGCAUUUAGGGUCCCUGUUGUAUUUUUUUGAUGUGUUAAUUCCCCGAAGACCCUUUGGCCUGUGGAUUAUUUGGAAUUGUGUUGUUAAAUUUCUGAGAAUUUAAAGAUUUUCACGUUAUUUUUGUUGCUGAAUUGAGUUUGACUCAUUAUGGCCACAGAACACAUCCCGUGUAGUUUCAUUUCUUUUGUGUGGCUCAGGGAGUGCCCCUUUGCAGCUUUGCCACGGGCCAGAGUAGAGAGCAUGUACAUUGCUGCCAGGCAGGGUGUCGUGUGCAGGCAGUCAAACCCUUUGGGGUGUCAGGGUGAGCUCCCCUGCACCCCUGCCGGGUUUCUGUCCAGCUGCUUGCUCAUCACUGAGAGAAGAGUGUUGAAGGCCCCACUGUGCUCAUAGGUUUCAUUUCCCCUCCAGUUUUGUCACGUGUCUUCACACUCUCUUGCUGGGUGUGUAUGCAUUUAGGGUCCCUGUCUCUUCAGUGGACUGACCCUUAAAGUCACUAUGUGACGUAUCAUCAGCUUUGCCUGAUGAUAAUGUACCCACUCUUUCCAUCCUAUUACUGCCACCUUCUGUCUCGUUACGCUAAAGUCAGUUUCUUGUAGACAGCAUAUGCUUGGUCAUGUUCUUUAAUCUACUUUGCCAGUUUCUGUCUUCCAGGUGGUUUGUUUAGAUCAUUUAUAUUUAAUACAAUUUUUGGUAUUCCGUGAUA